rnacentral:rRNA from 1 species
AUGAACGUUAGCGGCGCGCCUGAUGCAUGCAAGUCGAACGAUCUGUUAAUCCGCAAGGAAUGACAGGUAGUGGCAAACGGCUGAGUAACAUGUAAGUAACAUAUCUCUAAGUGGGGAAUAACCUGCCGAAAGGCAAGCUAAUACCGCAUGUGGUGCUAUACGAUAGUUUAUCACUAAAGCUUUCGGGCGCUUGGAGAGUGGCUUGCAUCUGAUUAGCUAGUUGGUAGGGUAAUGGCCUACCAAGGCGAUGAUCAGUAGCUGGUCUGAGAGGACGACCAGCCAGACAGGGACUGAGACACGGCCCUGACUCCUACGGGAGGCAGCAGCAAGGAAUUUUGCGCAAUGGGCGAAAGCCUGACGCAGCGACGCCGCGUGGGGGACGAAGACCUUCGGGUUGUAAACCCCUUUUCCUGGGGAAGAAUUAUGACGGUACCCAGGGAAUAAGUCUUGGCUAACUACGU